rnacentral:rRNA from 1 species
GAUGAACGCUAGCGGCAGGCUUAACACAUGCAAGUCGAGGGGUAUAGUUCUUCGGAACUAGAGACCGGCGCACGGGUGCGUAACGCGUAUGCAAUCUACCUUUUACAGGGGGAUAGCCCAGAGAAAUUUGGAUUAAUACCCCAUAGUAUGUUAGAGUGGCAUCAUUUUAACAUUAAAGUUCCAACGGUAAAAGAUGGGCAUGCGUCCCAUUAGCUAGAUGGUAAGGUAACGGCUUACCAUGGCGACGAUGGGUAGGGGUCCUGAGAGGGAGAUCCCCCACACUGGUACUGAGACACAGACCAGACUCCUACGGGAGGCAGCAGUGAGGAAUAUUGGACAAUGGGCGCAAGCCUGAUCCAGCCAUGCCGCGUGCAGGAAGACGGUCCUAUGGAUUGUAAACUGCUUUUGUACAGGAAGAAACACUCCCUCGUGAGGGAGCUUGACGGUACUGUAAGAAUAAGGAUCGGCUAACUCCGUGCCAGCCGCCGCCGUAAAAC